CGUCUUUUGACAUUAUGCCCUAUUGAGCUGUACGAAGAUGCUCUCGUUAUAUUCCAAAUAACUACCGUAUGAAGGAUAUCUAGACAAAACUCUUUAAUUCCUAUUGGAAAGAAUAACCAGUUUUUCCUUUUGAGAAAUCUGUAGUGUAAAAUAUGAUUGAAAAAUGGCCUUGGACGACUCUUAUUCGGAUGUAAUUCAUAUUCAGCAAAGUAAACAUGGCUCUUCUCUCAAGAUUACAAUGCCAUGUACAUUUACCAAGAUGAGCCUGUUUGACGAAAGGUAAAGGAUUACUGUACCAUAUGAACGUUUCUUUUGAAGUAGAAGAGUUAGUUGUGAUCGAGGACGUUGACUAUACAUACUCAUCUCCUUAUUUUUAUAUGGAAAAUGUUGAUACAGGACAACAGAAAAAGAUAUAUGGAUUAUUUCAUCGAUAUUCAAGCAUAUGGACGACGUCAAGAAAUCGCACGAACUUCAGAAGGAUUUUAUACUGUGUACAAUAUAUUUAGUGUGAAUUAGUUUAGAAAGUGGUAGUGCGUAAUCCCCUGAUUUUUUAAUCACUAUAAGGUCAUUUUCCAACAAAGCUGAAAAAAGUUUAAAAGACGAGGGUCGUGUUUUGGUUUGUCGGUAUUUGAAAGGGAAACUAUAAAGAUGACAAGAACAGCUCUACUGGUAUUCUUCGUGACACUAAUGGUCGCUCAAAUACAUGGAAAGUCAAUUACAAGAUCGCAACCGGAUGUAGAGACGGAAUGUUGGGAACUUUGCUCUAUGGACUUCGAGAAAUGUCGAGAGUUUUAUAUGUGUCCUAAGAAACAUGACGAAUUCGGCGAAGCUCAACAAUGUUCAUCCUGUGCAAAGAGGUCUAUUGCUUGUCUGGAAAAAUGUAUCAAUAAGAAAUAAUGUUCAAAAUAAUUGUAUACUAACACUGUUGUUUUUCUUGUUGAGGAAAUAGAUUAACAUCAAUUAA